AAGGUUUCAUUUCCAGGUGUUACAGGAGGAAAACAACAAAUUUUACUUUCCAUUCGAGAUUUAAAAGUAUUCCAGUCGGCAUUCAAUAAUCUAUAUUUCAAACGAAUCCGUUUUCGAACAGUUUCGUGUUGAAAAGGCAGAGUGAUAAUAAGACUAUAAUGAUCACUUCCAAAAGUGUAUUUAAGGGCUUCCCAAGAAAGAUAUGGAGCAAGAUUUGGGGUGCAAAUUGAUAAGUCUGGAGCACUCUUUCCCUGUGAAGGAGAGGUGCGACGGGAAUUACGCUCCUGCAGUUCCACUGGAGAACUUUGGAAUUUAGGUCCAUUAUGGAGUGUUUUAGAGAUUUGUGCAAGAGAAUCAAUGAGAGCUGCGUUGGACGGUGGAAUUAAGUUUGACUGCGAAAGAAUCGACCUAAAGACACAGGAUGCAAAGAAACCCCAUCAUCAGGCGAUGUCAGCUUAUGCUGGAUGUGUAACGUGUAAGGAGCUGCAUCAGAACUAAUAUAAGUCCUCCGAGCAAUUUGAGACUGUGGAGAGUGGUUGUCAGCGACAGUUGAAAUAUUUUGUGACGCAACAGUUUCAUUAAAUAAAGGCAAAGAGAUA
rnacentral:misc_RNA from 1 species